rnacentral:rRNA from 1 species
GACGAACGCUGGCGGCGUGCUUAACACAUGCAAGUCGAACGGAAAGGCCCCUUUGGGGGUACUCGAGUGGCGAACGGGUGAGUAACACGUGAGUAACCUGCCCUUGACUUCGGGAUAACUUCAGGAAACUGGGGCUAAUACCGGAUAGGAAUCCUUGCUGCAUGGUGGGGGUUGGAAAGCUUCGGCGGUUUUGGAUGGACUCGCGGCUUAUCAGCUUGUUGGUGGGGUAGUGGCUUACCAAGGCUUUGACGGGUAGCCGGCCUGAGAGGGCGACCGGCCACAUUGGGACUGGGAUACGGCCCAGACUCCUACGGGAGGCAGCAGUGGGGAAUAUUGCACAAUGGGCGGAAGCCUGAUGCAGCAACGCCGCGUGCGGGAUGACGGCCUUCUGGUUGUAAACCGCUUUCAGCAGGGGCGAAGCUUGUGGUGACGGUACCUGCAGAAGAAGCACCGGCUAACUACGUG